CUGCCCGUUGGACCGCAGCGAAAGUAAUCAUUUCAGCUGAAAGGAAGCACCUGCCUGCGACAUAAUAGCUGUAAGACACAAACAUUGGUGUUGUAGACGAGAUUUCUAUUUUCUUGGGCAUGAUGAUGUGAUUAACCCCUGCCCCAGCACAGAUUUAUUUCAAGCAUCAUUUCCAAUGUGGACGGUGAACUAUUAUUUAUGUUUUGCAUUAUCUUAAAGCAGAUUUCCCAGUAAUUGAUUUGACAUUAGCUGAAUUGGUUUUGUCAGUAUUUUGUUUUAUUUUUAUUUAUUUAUUUGCACCAGUCCUGGGUCUUGAACUCAGGGCAUGGGGCCCUGUCGCUGAGCUUCUUUUGCUCAAGGCUAGCACUCU